GAUGAACGCUGGCGGCGUGCCUAAUACAUGCCAGUCGAGCGAACAGACGAGGAGCUUGCUCCUCUGACGUUAGCGGCGGACGGGUGAGUAACACGUGGAUAACCUACCUAUAAGACUGGGAUAACUUCGGGAAACCGGAGCUAAUACCGGAUAAUAUAUUGAACCGCAUGGUUCAAUAGUGAAAGACGGUUUUGCUGUCACUUAUAGAUGGAUCCGCGCCACAUUAGCUAGUUGGUAAGGUAACGGCUUACCAAGGCAACGAUGCGUAGCCGACCUGAGAGGGUGAUCGGCCACACUGGAACUGAGACACGGUCCAGACUCCUACGGGAGGCAGCAGUAGGGAAUCUUCCGCAAUGGGCGAAAGCUUGACGGAGCAACGCCGCGUGAGUGAUGAAGGUCUUCGGAUCGUAAAACUCUGUUAUUAGGGAAGAACAAAUGCGUAAGUAACUAUGCACGUCUUGACGGUACCUAAUCAGAAAGCCACGGCUAACUACGUG
rnacentral:rRNA from 1 species